CUGGCUUCCCCUGGCUUUGGCUGUGCAGUGCCCUCUCGGGAAAGCCUGAUCCCAGGCCCAAGCACCCUGCGGGCGGUGUUGGAGAGUCCCCACGUAGUGAGUGAACGCUAACUCAGUUCCCUAUCUGUGUUUAAUGCUCUCGCCGCUUCCGAGCCACGAACAGAAGCCUCCUACGCCGGCCUCAGCGUUAAGAACGCAUCCAGAUGUGGCCGGGACCACCCUGUGCCUCGGGUGUCUCCAACAGCGGCGCCGGCCGCCCCAUGCCGAGCGAGGCAACGGACCCAAAACCAGACUGAAGAGAUUCUGUAUAGCAAAGAAAAUCUGCAACAAUGAAGAGGUUGGCUUGAGGAAUAUAUGUUUUGGGGAAGAAGAUCCCAUCCAUGAAUUGGCGUUGUCAUCAUGGUCUGUCAAAGCUACAGGUGCCAACGUGACUCAUGACUGUUGAGAUAACUAGUGAUGUGAGAGCUUAAGUGUGAACCCAAGUAUCCUGACCCCAAAGAAGAAUAGAGAGCCCCACUGCAUGCUGGAUAACUUCCUGUCACCUCUGAGAGAAGCUCGGAAAUUUCGCCUACAUCUGUGCUCCAGUCCACAAUUUGAACCACUGAAGUACUGAAGGGGCCACAGGUGUCGUACCAAAGCCCCCUGGGAUUGCAAACCCCAAAGACAAACACCACUGAGGUAUUUGUUAAACACCUAAAUCAGCAUGUCUCUUCUUGGACAUGAACACGGAGCUCCAGGAGUUUCGGGCUCGAGCCAGAAGGUUUCUGUUUUAACUGCUGUUGGUUCUUGUCUUUUGGUAUGAGUCUUAAAAAGACCAUCUCCACUUUACUACAAGUCAAUUUUGCUUAAAUCAGGACUGUCCAACAAAAACAUUGUUAGAUAUUCAUGAUUUGAA